UGCAUCUGUUCCUGUUUUGCCAGAUUCAACAUAACACAAAAGGCUACUGGUGCUUCAAAAGAGAUCUGUCACCUUGCCAAACUUUUGAGCGCUAGCAAACACAACGGAGGUACUUUAAGGUUUACACGGAGGAUCCUGUAAAGCCUCGAUUCGGUUCGACUUGGGCGGCGCACGCUACAUCCCCUCAGUUAUCCAGCACCGGGCUCUGCUCUGCCUUCCCGAAGCGUGAGCUAUUAACGCCGCCCUGGUCCCUCCACCAGGCGGUCCCUGCAUCUGGUGCCGAAUGAGUCAGUGGAGGGAGAAAGCACCAGUAUCCCCCAGUUGCUAGGAGACAAGCGGGGAGAUCCUGACCUGAAUUCUUAGCACAGGCUGAUGUUGCUCGGGGAGCUUAGCCGGGUCUCUCCUGGAAAGGCAGGGGAAAGUUACUCCUGGGUUUGCAGAGGCAACGGGAUGACAAUGAGCUGCUCCUAUGACAAAAAGGCACCUGUCGUGAAAAUGGGGAGCGCAUGCGCAAAAACUGGGGACUGAAGGGCAUUUACCAGGACUGCCAUGGGGGUCGACAGCCAGGGGAAAUACUUGGUGAUGAAGAAAUUGCUUCAGCUUAAGAUGCCAGCCAAAUGCACUGAGGAAGAGGAAGGCAGCAGUUCCCUUUACCUGCUGCACUUUGCUUGCAGGCAGGUUUCGGCAAGGCACGUGUCUUCUCCAGGGGAAGAUGCUUAACGAAGGGUUUGAUCUUCCUGAUGAAUACAGAAGGAUGCUAAUAUACUGACCUCAUCAAGCACACCUUGUAAUAAAAUGUUUCAAAAUUUGUGUUUCAAAAAAUGGACAGUUCAACACAGCCUGAGUUCAACCGCAGACAGAUGACUGCACCGUUCAAAUCUCUCUGCAAAGGCCAAGUCUCAUGGAAAUCAAGAUGCUGGGCAAUCAAGGUGCACCUUGGUGUGCACCAUGGUGCAGGACAGGGAAGGACAGCGGCUGGGUGCAGCGUGGGCUCGGCAGAGGGACUGUAGCUGAGCAGGGUCACUGGCUCCACGCCAGCGCUGCUCCUCCCAGCCCUGAAAUCCUGCCAGGCUCCCUGCUGCCCGCUAUGGGAUACCUAUCACCACUCCACGGAGACAGAGAGCAAACCCUUAACCAACGUUUCAUAGAAAUAAAGUGCUACUUCCCUCUCAAUGAGAGGAGAGUGACAUGCCAGGAGGCAGCAAAUAAAUGUCUGUGUGUCCGGGGCUGUCUUGUAAAUAACCUUUACAAGAGAAAUAGUUUGCAUUUACAGAAAGUGCGGGGCAAUGAAUUAUUCAUCUGAGCAGAGGGACUGAAAUACUGUCUUUUGUUAGUCUGGUUAUUGGAGACUGAGGGAAAAUAAAGACAACCAGACUUUCUCAGAUGCAAUAACUGAUCAGUGACAAUGCAGACAAGUUGGAAGGAAUUUUUUUCAGUGAGAGUUGCAACCCUUUUCCACGUAAGUGUCUGAAACUGACAGUUAAUGCACAAAAUAUAGCUGCUAUGCCAUCAAGUACAUGAACCUUACUAUCAACAGAGGCAUUAAAGACUGACAUUAUGAUACUGAUUUUUUUUUAUUUCACUACAGCUGAUGCCUGAGUGGUGGUAUUAUUUUUUCUGUUUAAUGCCACAGGCCUGGACAACAAGACCAAUACUCAUUGUAAAACGAUCCCCCAAUUGCUCUUUAUGGGAAUAAUAAGAAGAAUCGGUCUGCCAAUAAAACUGGCAGUGACUGGAGAACCUGGAUUUCAGGAUGUGCCACAGUCUCCACAUUUUUUCAGAAAAAAAGUACAUGUAUAAGUUUAAGAUACAGAACUGAAUUAUUAUAAUGUAAAAGACAGGCUAGCAGCUGUGUGCACUUAGAUUAUAAAAAAGAAACAAAGCACUGACCUGUACAACAGAAAUUGCAAUAACAUCUGCUAGACUUCUGGGCUCUGAGAUCACAUUCCCUGAAAGCAAGUUUCCAAAAGAAAAGCUGGGCACUUACGUGAAAUACCAUUUCCCUUUCCAAUGAGUUGUGCUUCUCUUCAGCAGCUUUAUUUAAAAGCCUAAGUGCAAAACCACACGCAUCUCCCUUCUCUGGGAAUUAGUGAGGCAAAGUAACAACCUGUGAUGGCAGCAGCAUAAAAGCAGAUUUAUAAAUAUCUUUCAGAAUUAGGAAUAUACCAGGCUGCCCUCUUUGCUUACUCCCUGCUUGUCUUCUUAGUCCUUUUCUACAAGACAGAUUCCUGUAUGUCAUCUUCUCAGACCCGCAGAGGGGUAAGCAGAGCUGUAUUUACUCCUCAACACGGAGUACCACUGUGCUCUCACAAAGACAGAAACGCUGCUACCUCUUAGGCUUUGUCUGCUUGGCAAUUUGGUGCCUUACGUUUAAGUCCUCAGCCCUGCCAAAGCUUUUAACGCUUCACAGAACUUCCUACAGGGUCAAGAUCUGCUCUGCCAUGACAUGAAUUCCCAGCAACCUCAUCUCUGUUGUGAGCAGGUAUUUAAAGCAGCCCUUGGUUUCAUCUUCUCCUUUCCCCUCAUACAUUGCCAGAUGGCUUUAUUUAAUGUCUAGUCCCUAGACUGGCUCUUAGAUUGAUUUUUUCCUCUACACUUGCCAUCUGCUGGUCCAGGCAGCUAAAUGAUACACUUGCUUUUCAAUCUCGCAGCAUCGAUUCUUUCUUGCUGUUGACUUGGCAUCCAAAAUAGAAAGGCAGGCAGACAGGAAGGUCUGGAUAAGGCUGUGCUUGACCAACAGGAAUUUUCUCCUUCUGCCUUUGAGAGCUGUAUAUAAAAGUUUUAAGAGGGAACAGAGCACAAAGCCAAGAAAGACAGGUACCGAGGUGACCUGAAGCAUGUUGUCUCAAGGGUGGGAAGUGGACUGCGGAGUGGCUGUGGCUUGGAUGGAGGAUUUCCAGCCCCAGCUGUUGGCAUCGUGUGACCUUGUACAAAGAAAAGCUAUGGUAUUGUGCAUCAGCUAAUGGCAGAGAAUUGCACGCACACUUCCAAGAGAAACAAAUGCUGCAUGGAAAAACCUUUACUUAGCUCCUCUGCAUCAUUUUUUCAGAGGCUCCGGGAACAGUCUUCCUCUCUUCAGUUACAAGGUAGAGGAAUUGAGGGGAAAUGAUUCAUGUGGAUAUGGGUGCCACACAUGCACCCUGCAUGGCACCCAGCAUGGGCAGCACUCUGCCCAGGGAAAGGCAAGUGACUGCUGCCCAGGCUGCAAAACACCACCAGCAGCUGCCUGGAAAGGGCACGAGGAAGAGGACAGAGGAAGCAUGGAGGCAGGAGGAAGGAAAAGGUGCCAAACGGUCUUGCUGUCAACCUACCUAAACGUUUAAUGGCGAGAUGUUCCUGAGCUGCUUGAAUGUGCACGUUUUACCCAUCUUGCUAGUUUAAACUCAACAUGCUCCUGGGAAACUGGCUGCUCACGGCUUGGAUGGGCACCUGCUUUGUUGGGCAAAAAACUUGUGUCCCCCAGGGCUCAGUACUGGGGCCACUUCUCUUCAAUAUCUUAUCAAUGAUCUGGAUGAGGGGAUCAAGGGCACCCUCAGUAAGCUUGCAGGCAACACCAAGUUAGGCACGAGCGCUGAUCUGCUUGAGGGUAGGAAGGCCCUGCAGAGGGCUCUGAAUAGGCUGGACCAAUGGGGCCAAGACCAACUGUAUGAGGUACCACAAUGCUAAGGGCCGGGUCCUGCACUUGGGGCACAACAACCCCAUGCAGCACUAC